ACUAAGCGUACACGGUGGAUGCCCUGGCAGUCAGAGGCGAUGAAGGACGUGCUAAUCUGCGAUAAGCGUCGGUAAGGUGAUAUGAACCGUUAUAACCGGCGAUUUCCGAAUGGGGAAACCCAGUGUGAUUCGUCACACUAUCAUUAACUGAAUCCAUAGGUUAAUGAGGCGAACCGGGGGAACUGAAACAUCUAAGUACCC
rnacentral:rRNA from 1 species